AAUACAAUAUUGAAGAUAAUUACUCAUCCAAAAUUCUCUUGCCUCAAUCACAUGAUUGAAACAUUGAAAAUCUAAAAGAUCAAAACACCAAAUAAAUCUUUACCAAAUAUCUUUCAAAGUUCAGAAGAUCUAAAGAGGUGACUAGAGUUUCAAUUCGUGAAGAACAAGUUCGUUCUUGGUGAUCCACAAAAAGAAAAGAAGUCCAGAGGUUCUUGAGCUGGUGUUCAAGCCCACAAUCGAGAGGAUCUUCAGUGAUUACAGGUUGGGGUUCAGAGUCUACUAAAGUUUAAUUAUGCUUGGAACAAAUCUGGAUUCAGAGGGUAUUUUGAAGGAAUCAAAGUCAACUCGAGAAGAUCAAGAAAAAGGAAAAUCGCUCAUCGACUGCCAGCAGACUGCUUGAGCGAUUUUAAUAGAAAGAGACCGCCCGCUAGGAGCCAAAUAGGCACAUGAACGACAGUGAUAUCUAGAGUCCAAAGAGGUGUCUGGAGUUUCAAUUCAUGAAGAAUGCAUUCGCUUUUGGUGAUCUACCAGGAGAAAGUAAGUCCAAAGGUUCUAGAGCUGGUGCUUGAGCGCACAACCUAGGAGUUCGCCGGUGAUUAUACGUUGGGGUAAGAGUCUAUUAAUGUUUAGUUGUGUAUGGACCAAUCCUGUAAGUUUAAUAUUUCCACUGGAUUAUUUACCGUUCGAAGGUUUUUUCUUUUGAAAAG